AUUGAACGCUCGCGGCAUGCCUUACACAUGCAAGUCGAACGGCAGCACGGGUGCUUGCACCUGGUGGCGAGUGGCGAACGGGUGAGUAAUACAUCGGAACAUGUCCUGUAGUGGGGGAUAGCCCGGCGAAAGCCGGAUUAAUACCGCAUACGAUCUACGGAUGAAAGCGGGGGACCUUCGGGCCUCGCGCUAUAGGGUUGGCCGAUGGCUGAUUAGCUAGUUGGUGGGGUAAAGGCCUACCAAGGCGACGAUCAGUAGCUGGUCUGAGAGGACGACCAGCCACACUGGGACUGAGACACGGCCCAGACUCCUACGGGAGGCAGCAGUGGGGAAUUUUGGACAAUGGGCGAAAGCCUGAUCCAGCAAUGCCGCGUGUGUGAAGAAGGCCUUCGGGUUGUAAAGCACUUUUGUCCGGAAAGAAAUCCUUGGCCCUAAUACGGUCGGGGGAUGACGGUACCGGAAGAAUAAGCACCGGCUAACUACGUG
rnacentral:rRNA from 1 species